rnacentral:rRNA from 1 species
GAUGAACGCUGGCGGCGUGCCUAAUACAUGCAAGUCGAGCGAACAGACCAGGAGCUUUCUCCUCUUACGUUAGCGGCGGACGGGUGAGUCACACGUGGAUAACCUACCUAUAAGACUGGGAUAACUUCGGGAAACCGGAGCUAAUACCGGAUAAUAUCUUGCACCGCAUGGUUCAAUAGUGAAAGACGGUUUUGCUGUCACUUAUAGAUGGAUCCGCUCCGCAUUAGCUAGUUGGUAAGGUAACGGCUUACCAAGGCAACGAUGCGUAGCCGACCUGAGAGGGUGAUCGGCCACACUGGAACUGGGACACGGUCCAGACUCCUACGGGAGGCAGCAGAGGGGAAUCUUCCGCAAAGGGCGAAAGCCUGACGGAACAACGCCGCGUGAGUGAUGAAGGGCUUCGGAUCGUGAAGCUCUGUUAUUAGGGAAGAACAAAUGUGUAAGUUACUAUGCACGUCUUGACGGUACCUAAUCAGAAAGCCACGGCUAACUACGUG